GGCAACAUGAGAGCCUAACUGUCUCUUAUAACAAAUCAAUUAAACUGAUCUUCUAGUACAAAAGCUAGAAUCCCCCCAUAAGACCAGAAGACCCUGUGAAGCUUUAAUUAACCUAUUAAACCCCAUAAUAGCUAAUUUCGGUUGGGGCGACCUUGGAACAAAAGAAAACUUCCAAACAUGCAACUCACUCGCACCAAAGGCUAACAAGCCACUAUAGACCCAGUACAUCUGAUAAAUGAACCAAGUUACUCCAGGGAUAACAGCGCUAUCUUCUUCAAGAGCCCAUAUCAAAAAGAAGGUUUACGACCUCGAUGUUGGAUCAGGACAUCCUAGUAAUGCAACAGUUUCUAAGGGUUCGUUUGUUCAACGAUUAACAGUCCU
rnacentral:rRNA from 1 species